ACGGGAAGAGCCCAAACCAACAAGCUUGCUUGUUGGGGUUGUAGGACACUCUAUACGGAGUUACAAAGGACGACAUUAGACGAAUCAUCUGGAAAGAUGAAUCAAAGAAGGUAAUAAUCCUGUAGUCGAAAAUGUUGUCUCUCUUGAGUGGAUCCUGAGUACGACGGAGCACGUGAAAUUCCGUCGGAAUCUGGGAGGACCAUCUCCUAAGGCUAAAUACUCUCUAGUGACCGAUAGUGAACCAGUACCGUGAGGGAAAGGUGAAAAGCACCCCGGAAGGGGAGUGAAAUAGAACCUGAAACCGUGUGCUUACAAGUAGUCAGAGCCCGUUAAUGGGUGAUGGCGUGCCUUUUGUAGAAUGAACCGGCGAGUUACGAUUUGAUGCAAGGUUAAGCAGUAAAUGUGGAGCCGUAGCGAAAGCGAGUCUGAAUAGGGCGUUUAGUAUUUGGUCGUAGACCCGAAACCAGGUGAUCUACCCUUGGUCAGGUUGAAGUUCAGGUAACACUGAAUGGAGGACCGAACCGACUUACGUUGAAAAGUGAGCGGAUGAACUGAGGGUAGCGGAGAAAUUCCAAUCGAACCUGGAGAUAGCUGGUUCUCUCCGAAAUAGCUUUAGGGCUAGCCUCAAGUGAUGAUUAUUGGAGGUAGAGCACUGUUUGGACGAGGGGCCCCUCUCGGGUUACCGAAUUCAGACAAACUCCGAAUGCCAAUUAAUUUAACUUGGGAGUCAGAACAUGGGUGAUAAGGUCCGUGUUCGAAAGGGAAACAGCC
rnacentral:rRNA from 1 species